UACGGGGGGAGCAAGCGUUGUUCGGAUUUACUGGGCGUAAAGGCGCGUAGGCGGCCACCGCAAGUCGACUGUGAAAUCUCCGGGCUUAACCCGGAAAGGUCAGCCGAUACUGCGGGGCUAGAGUGCAGAAGGGGCAACUGGAAUUCUCGGUGUAGCGGUGAAAUGCGUAGAUAGUCUGGAGGAACACCGGUGGCGAAGGCGACGUCCUGGACCGGCAUUGACGCUGAGGCGCGAAAGCCAGGGGAGCAACGGGA
rnacentral:rRNA from 1 species